rnacentral:tRNA from 1 species
GGCUCGGUAGCUCAAUUGGUAGAGCAUCCGGUUGAAGCCCGGAGGUAGCCGGUUCGAUCCCGGCCCGAGUCACCG